UGGUUGUACACAUUUGCUGUAGUGUGGGUUUCAUUAGAAGAAUUACUUCUGAGAAACUGAAUAAAUCACUAAGGACUUGCUUUCUGUUUAGAAAGUUUUGGCUCGGAUAAAAGAGCAGAUUAAACCUUCGUUGAGAUCAAAUUUCCAUUAGAUGGACGAUCUUCAUCCAAACACCUAAAGACUAACUCCUGUUCUGAAGCUAAAGAAACCACAAGGAAGAAAUAUGGUAUCCUGAAAAUAUCAUACUCUGUAAUAUUGAUCUGAAAGCAAUGAAACCAACCAUAUGUAUAAAACUACAAACAAACAAAAAACAAGUAUAUGGAUUUGCAGCAUUUAUGCUUGCAUGGCUAAUGUGGAGGUUAUGAGGAAUGUAUUGCUUGUUUGCUCAGAUAGUAGGGAUAAAAACAAGCUUUCAUGUAACUGCCACGUUUACAUAUUACAAAUUAGAUCAGCUUGUG